rnacentral:rRNA from 1 species
CACGUAGGGGGCGAGCGUUGUCCGGAUUUAUUGGGCGUAAAGAGCUCGUAGGCGGCUCAGUAAGUCAGGUGUGAAAACUCCAGGCUCAACCUGGAGACGCCAUCUGAUACUGCUGUGGCUAGAGUCCGGUAGGGGAGCAUGGAAUUCCUGGUGUAGCGGUGAAAUGCGCAGAUAUCAGGAGGAACACCCAGUGGCGGAAGGCGGUGCUCGUGGGCCG